AUAAAUUUUCGUGGCGGGCGGUUGCUGACAUGAUAGAUCCAUCGGAAUUGGCUCAAUGCCAAAAAUCCGAGUGUUCGGUUUCAAGAAAAACUCGUGGUAUAUGUAUGUAUGUAUGUCAUGUUUUAUUCACAGAGACACACAGAUAUUCCCUUUUUGACAAUGUUCUUUAUUACUAUUUAAACUCUAACUGCUGUCUCUUCUCGUGCCACCUCUCGUUCCAAUCCAGCAUCAUUAUUAGAUGAUUUUGUUAAAAAAUUUUCUUAUUAAAAAAUUUUCGCUAGCUAUGUUUAUAACUGAAUUUUUUUAUUAUAGAAUUACUGUAUAUAUAGUACAAUCAGUUCCACUUAAUUGGGUCACCAGUUGAUUGGAGUAGCUGCUUUUCUGUGCCAAAUCUCAAAGAAUAGAAAUGAAACUAAUAAACUAAUACAUAAUUUAAAUGCUUAAUUGGGACAGUAGCAGA
rnacentral:lncRNA from 1 species